CCCUUAACUAUUAAAAGUUUUGUUUUGGUCCCUUAACUUAUUUUUUAGUUUCGUUUUGGUCCCUUAACUUAUUUUUUGGUUUCAUUUUGGUCCCUUAACUCUAAUACAUUCAUCCUAACAUAAAGGACCAAAGUGGUUGACGGAGGAAGAGUUAAGGGACCAAAAUGAAACCAAAAAGUAAGUUAAAUGACCAAAACGAAACUUUUGAUAGUUAAGGGA
rnacentral:pre_miRNA from 1 species